UGCCCAGACUCCUACGGGAGGCAGCAGUGGGGAAUAUUGGGCAAUGGGCGCAAGCCUGACCCAGCAACGCCGCGUGAAGGAAGAAGGCUUUCGGGUUGUAAACUUCUUUUCUCAGGGACGAAGCAAGUGACGGUACCUGACGAAUAAGCCACGGCUAACUACGUGCCAGCAGCCGCGGUAAUACGGAGGAUCCGAGCGUUAUCCGGAUUUAUUGGGUUUAAAGGGUGCGUAGGCGGAUUUUUAAGUCAGCGGUAAAAUGUCCGGGCUCAACCCGGGCCGGCCGUUGAAACUGGGGAUCUUGAGUGGGCGAGAAGUAUGCGGAAUGCGUGGUGUGGCGGUGAAAUGCAUAGAUAUCACGCAGAACUCCGAUUGCGAAGGCAGCAUACCGGCGCCCGACUGACGCUGAGGCACGAAAGCGUGGGGAUCGAACAGGAUUAGAUACCCUUGUAU
rnacentral:rRNA from 1 species